AUGGAUGGAAUCAAAUACGCAGUAUUUACAGAAAAAAGUCUUCGUUUAUUGGGAAAGAAUCAAUAUACUUUUAAUGUCGAAUCGGGAUUCACUAAGACAGAAAUAAAGCAUUGGGUCGAACUCUUCUUUGGUGUUAAGGUGGUAGCUGUGAAUAGCCAUCGACUACCUGGAAAAGGUAGAAGAAUAGGACCUAUUCUGGGCCAUACAAUGCAUUAUUUUGUCCAAUAUAGGAGUAAAAACAAGACGUAA
rnacentral:rRNA from 1 species